rnacentral:sRNA from 1 species
GCACUUAUUUUACUUAAUGAUAACAUUGAAAAAUAAUAUUUAAUAUGUAAAAAAUGCAUUUAAUAAUGGUCACCUUUUCAUAAUAAGAGCUGAAAAUGACCAAAAUACCCAUUGUUUUUACUUGAUUUUCGUAAACAAUAAUUAAAGGGAGCCCGCCAUGUUUGGCCUCUUUGGAAAGCUUGUCCUUUUUUCUCUAAGGUCAGACUAUAAAAAGACAUCCAAUGAAAAAUAAUUAUUUAAGUCUGAACAUUCUUCCCUCCUAUAUAAAUGCGUUUCUUGGCUAUAAAAAGAACUGCCAAGACCUACAUAUCUUCUGUUUACAAACACGAAUAAUACGAAUAACACGAAUAAUAUGGACGCUUUACCACAGCUGAAAUGAACACAUUAGCCCUUUCUUCACAUUUCUAUUGACUUCAUCAGUCAAUUGUUAAUUUAUUGUUCUACUGAUAUAAGGAUUCUUAUUGAAAUUAUAAGAGGAAUGUUUCGCAGAAAUAUUUAGAUGGUUACGUCGACGACAACUUGUCGUUUAUUGAACCACACCAGAUUUCGCAAACAUAUUUCGCAACAUAUUUGACUGAACUAUGUGAACUAUGUGACUUACAGAUUCAAACCUUCUUUGCAGUCUUUAGAAAGAUUGCAAA